AACUCUAAGCGGUGGAUCACUCGGCUCGUGUGUCGAUGAAGAGCGCAGCCAGSYGCGUGAAUUAAUGUGAAUUGCAGGACACAUUGAACAUCGAUAUCUUGAACGCACAUUGCGGCCUCGGGCAUUCCCGAGGCCACGCCUGUCUCAGGGUCG
rnacentral:rRNA from 1 species